UAUUUUGUAAACUUUCAUCAAGGUUACCUUUUCCGCAAAGGUGAACAAUUUGAUACUUUUUAAGAAGUUCUGGUAAUGCUUCUCGAGCCGUAUCAUUAAUUUUCUUCGCGCCCAAGCUGCCUCCCAUAAUCGUAAUAACUGGCUUUUUACGUGAAAAACCUAAAAAUGCUAAAC
rfam:Bacillus thuringiensis serovar israelensis ATCC 35646 sq1727, whole genome shotgun sequence.